GUCAAGAUUGCUGAGCAGUCUAAGGCACUGUGUUCAAGUUGCAUUAUCCCCUGGAGUCAUGGGUUUGAAUCCCAUUCCUGACA
rnacentral:tRNA from 1 species